rnacentral:rRNA from 1 species
AACGUAGGAGACAAACGUUAUCCGGAGUUACUGGGCGUAAAGGGCGUGUAGGCGGUCUGUUAAGUCUGGCGUGAAAGCUCUCGGCUAAACCGGGAGAGGUCGUUGGAUACUGGCAGACUAGAGGACGGUAGAGGCGUGUGGAAUUCCGGGUGUAGUGGUGAAACGCGUAGAGAUCCGGAGGAACACCAGUGGCGAAGGCGACACGCUGGGCCGUACCUGACGCUAAAGCGCGACAGCAUGGGGAGCAAACGGG